rnacentral:rRNA from 1 species
GGACUACCAGGGUAUCUAAUCCUGUUCGCUCCCCACGCUUUCGCGCCUCAGCGUCAGUAUUAUGCCAGGUGGCUGCCUUCGCCAUUGACGUUCCUUCCGAUCUCUACGCAUUUCACCGCUACACCGGAAAUUCCGCCACCCUCUCAUAUACUCCAGUCAGAUCGUUUGCGAUGCGCUUCCCAGGUUAAGCCCGGGGCUUUCACAUCACACUCUUCUCACCGCCUACGCGCCCUUUACGCCCAGUAACUCCGAUUAACGCUCGCACCCUCUGUAUUACCGCGGCUGCUGGCAC